GUGGUCCAUGCAUGUGGAGGCUUCCUAGGUGUGACAGUGCAGCUGGGUCCUGCGUGGGCUGCGGAGAGGCAGGGCCCAGUGUGGCCCAGGUCAGGUGGUCUUGGGGAACUAGGACAAGGACAGCCUCCUUCUUUGGCCAGAGCAGGUAAUUUGUGUGGGUAGAAAUGACUUCUUAAAAGGCUCAGAUUUUCCAGGGCCUUGCAUGCCAGGCAGAGGUCAUUGCUGAGAGGCGAUAGGUGUUUCUCACCACAGGGUAUGUGAGGGGAUGGAUGGCCUUUGCCCAAAGUCGGUGGCUGACCUGCCCCUUACAAGCUCGGGACUCAGCACUUGGCAAUCUGCUGUGUGGGCAGUGGCAGGCCUUAGUGGCCAAGUCCCCUUCUUGGCCUUUUCUACAACUGAGUCAGAGUCCCCUCCCCUGCCAAUGACUGAAGCCCAGUGACGGUGUGUGGAAGGGCCCAGCUGUGGUGGCCUGUUGACUCUGGAGGGGUCACCACUCGAGCAAAUGCAACAACUCACGCUCCAACUAGGAUCAAAUUAGAGGUUGAUUGGCUUUCCCAGUCCCUCGGCUUCCAGUAAAACCUCAUAUUCUCUCCCGACAUCCAGCUAGAGGUCUUGCUUACCAAUCCACAUGAUUGGAUCCACUCCUUUUCUCGGUUUUCCAUCUCAGGGUCCGAGGGGCAGGGCAAACAACGUGGAGGCUUCUCUGACAGUGAGAAAACUGUUCACGACCUAGGCGCCUUUCUGUCUGAACAAAAGCACCCCCGGAAAACUCCAGGAUUUCGUGAGCAUCAUCCUGGCUGGGGGCUGUGGAAUGGCAAAGAUCUAUGACAGUCCUUGUCCCCAAGGAAACUAAAAUCUCAGGGAGAAGAGGCCCCAUGGUCCGGUCUGAAAAUCCCAGUGCACUGAGUCUUCAGGCUUCUCAAGAGCUGCUCUAGGAAACCACAGUUUGGCCUGCCCACCCUCUGGCGCUCUUUUUGCAGCUAGAGGAUCUGGUGCCGGCCCCAGGACAGGUGCCACAUGCUGUGAACUAGGAAAUGGAAGUGUUUUAAGCUAUGGUCUGGAUAGAUGAGAGGUACUGUGAAUAGGACACCCAGAAAUGUCCUAAAGCGAUAGUUAGAUGAUUGAUGUGUGGAGGCUGCAUUCAUGGCCAGGAGUCCAGGGGACGUGAGACGCCUGCCCAGAGGAGGAGGGACUUGAUAGGACCAGUGGGACUGUGACUUAGGGAAGGCCCUGGGCCAUACAUGGCCCGAGGGAUGAGGCAGGAGAGCGGUUUGGCUGGAGGAAUGGCAGAGCUGUUUUCCAUAUGCGGAUGAAGGGGCUGAACCUGGGCAGGGGACUUGGGAAUAGUCUAGACUGGGAAAGGAGGCUUCUGGUCUGGGUGACCCAGAAAAGAGGUCAGAAAGGAAUGCUGGUUUAGGAACUGCACAGUAAACAGUGAGAUAGCCAAAAACAGAACCUUGGAGAAGAUUCACAGCACAGUCAGCAUGUAGGGACCUGAACUGCCAGCGAUUUUCCAAUCACCACGCCGCUGUUGGCACAGCUGCGGGCAUCCCUCCAACUCCCAGGUAGCUAGGCUGAGGGCCCGUGGAGGCUGUCUUUCGACUGGCAGCCUGUAGUGUGACAUUCACUGGUGAAAUGAGUCAAGGAAAGGCCCAGGGUCUGAAAACCAGUACUUCAGGAAGGGCGGGAUUCAUCCAUAGAGCCAGCAAGGGGACUUUUCCAGCGAACUCCAAUUCCCUUCUGAUUUAAAGAGCCCUUGCUAAGCCUCAACAGGAUGCUAGAAGGCAGUGCAAGGGAAUUUUAAGACAGACACCUGAGAAAAAAGAUAGUCCAGGGAGAACUGAGGGUAUGGCAGGAGGACAGGAGCCUCUGAAGCAUGCAGACAUGUGGGUAUAGGGGAAGCCUCAGGCACGACGGCAUGGGGUCUGGACCGAAAGUGGUGUGUGUGUGGAUAUAAUGUGAGGCUGCAGUGUGUGGGGUGGGUAGCACAGGGUGAAUUUAGAUAGCACAGGAUUAGAUUACUGGGGGGAAAAAACCUUGAUUGAAUCCCUUCUGUAUGUCUGGAGCUUUACUACAGUCUUAUGGUCCCAAUAGUUCAUAAGGGACCAUGGGAGAGAGGCGGUCCCGUGGCCAAAGUGGAGGCGAAUUCUUCCUUGGCCCAACUGUUCACAGAGACCACAGCACUGGAAGCCGGUGUUUGACGGAAAACCUUUGAGCCCUCACUUGUUACCUCUUAGGGGAAUAAAGGCUUUUUAAUUUCCAGUUACAAUAGUCGGGGUAGUGCUGCCCCCUACUGGAAAAGUUCGUUAAAACAAGGAGGGAAGCCUAAAUCUCGGAAACACAGCCUGGCUGGGACCCGGCUGGCUCCGACACCCGAGUUAAACCCCGCCUUCUCCCUCCAGCCAAACAGCCGUGCACGAGGCCGUACGCUGCCUCACCCUCAAGUCACCACGCCACGUGCCAGCAGUAGGCAGGUGUCUCUAUCCACCUAGAACAAAGUGUACUCUUGCAUGGCUUCUGAACUGCUUCCAUCAUUUAAACCUUUUCCUAGUCACUCCACCUUUGAGAGAGGCAAGCCUGCCUCCCAGAAAGACAGGACUCUGAACUCCUUCCUGGACCUCUACAGGAUAGGUUCAGAUUUGCUUUGGAAUCAUGAGUAUAAAUGUAGUUGUCACUUAGGUAGUCAAUCCCCCAACGCCUGGGACAGAUUCAGCUUCUGAGCCCUCCAAGAACCACUAAGAAGCAGAACCACCAAGAAGCCCAUCCAUAGCUGUGCUUCCUAGCUCCUGAGCUCAGCCUGAGCACAGAUGAGGGACAUUUACAGAGUCCUGGGAAGCUCUGGUGCCUUACUGAGCAGCAUUUACACCCAGAUACGCUGAGCCUGGUGAACUUUGCCACAUUCUUCCUCAAUUCACCUACAAAUUGCUGGUGGUGCUGGUCUGAUCCAGGGGAGAAAAGUAGCAUGACUUCCAGUCUCCUUUCCUCCAUAGAUGAAAUCUUAACUAGAUCAGCCUUUUGGAGUCCAAAGGGCUGUCCGACUGCCCAAAGGCAA